CAUAAGCCGCCACCACCACCAUGAUGAUCCUGAAUAACCACCAAUGGAUUCUGGUUAAACUCGGCCAAUUUUCAUCUACAUUUAUGAUUUAACCCUGCAAUUCAUCCGAUUCAGUUCCAUUUUGUUUCAAUCCGGAUUACUAACAACAUCAUUCACCGUUCAGAAAUCAAUCCAUCAGCUAAUUUGAGAAUAUUAGACAAGAGCAAUAUCCAUGAUCCUUGAUGCAAAGACUGAUAGAGAGGUUCUAGCAGAGGCGAUUGAAAAUCUUAUAACACCACUUGGACUGCAGAAAGGAAAGACGGAAAGGAUACAAAGAUUUUCUGAAGGAUAUUUAUGGGAUGGACACACAUCACUCAACUCCAUGGCGUUGGGGAGUACGUCGCAGAUGCCUAUGAAAUAUUUGUUACAGGGCAGUGGAGGCGCAUGAUACCCGCAGAUCAUAUGCUAGACAGGUACCGGGAAAUUCUUCGUCUAGUUAACAUUACAUAAAGACAAUGUUAACACUAGCAGUGACACGUAUGGUGUAGAUUUUGGGGGAUGUUUCAUUGUUUUGUCGUUUUGAUUAUAAUAGUGGAUGUACGGUACAACCAUGUUGCUGCCCACGACAGAUCAUCCUUCCAACCCAAACAAACCAGUUAGUUUCACACAUAAAAAGCCAUUACGACACAAUCUUGACCCAUUUACAUAUGAAUGAGUCAAUAUGGGCUGCAUCUUAUAUCUAACAGGUUAAAUAGACCCUUUCGCAGACGGUAUUGAGUCCGUGAAAAGCCCCCUAAACUGAUCAGUAAACAAGAAAAGCUGCACUCAUGAAAGUAAAGCCAAAAGCUUCAUCAAAAUAUCACAACCAAGUCAUUCAAGAGCUAAAAAUGAUGCAAGUAUUUGAUAUCUGUUCAGGGCCUGUUUAGCAUGAACCAAUAACAAAUCAGAGUAAGAAGAGUUAUAAGGCAUGAAUGCAAUAGCUGCAACAGUUUCACCAGCAAUGUUUGAACCCAGUGCUCAGUAUUCAUUUUAUAAUCAGUUUAUGGCAUUGUAAUGUCUUCAGCGCACUCCCAACAGAAGAACAUUAAUAGUUUUGUGAAUAUGAUCUGUGUAUCAAGCCCGUAUAAAUAAUGUGAGAUUUAGCUUAGUAAUUUGAUUGUUUUGUGACAAUAUUCAUGCAAGUUAGGUUUUGCUUGAGGUUCUUUUUGCACCUGUGCUAUUGUAAAAGGGUUUUCUUUUUGACAGUUUCAACGCGGUGCUGUGUUGUUUGCUUUGUAUCUUGUUCUCUAGUGGUUUUUAAUAAUAUCAGUAUUGCCAUAAAAA